ACUUAUGGGAAUUGUGGCAGUAAACUAUUGCUGUUACUUUCACUUUCUAAUCUCAUCCCUCUAUAAAAGAAAGAGGCUUGGAAAACAGCCAGCCAGAGAAAGGAAGAGCAGAGGAGAGGAAAGAAAGAGGUAGGAGGCAAACAGUGAGUGCUUAUCACAGAACUUCAAACUCAGAAAAAAAACAUAAUAAUUAGAGCAUUUCACAGUGGGAGGGAGACAAGGUGCUGGAGCAGUUUAUGGAGAAAAAGGAGGAAGUAGCAGUCACCAUCCUCAGUGCUGAAAACAUGCAGAUAGAGGAAGCUAAGUGCCUGGCAGGUAAGUUGCUGUAGGAGUGAGUAUGGGUAAUUCCCUGACCAUCUCUCCCUGCCUGAGUUGUUGCCUACUUUGUCAUGAAAGGGGGUUGCUGGACUACUCUGGGAGAUAGCAACUGGAUCUGGAAACACGUAGGAGCCCUCUAUGUUAUGGGGACUUUUUCCAAUGUGAGAAAUGCCUAUUGCUGCCACCAAGAGUUUGGCCUCCUAGGUGAAUUGGCACCCUCCUCAUCCCUCAACACUCUAGUACCUUCAGUUCUGCAAUACCUACUCAAUGUAUGUGGAUUCCUCCACAUUAGAGAGCCCACUAGGGUGGAAAAAACCGUAUUCAUGAAUCCAGGGAAAUCCUCCUGGGGGAUUGGGUUACUUGCAGAUUGUAUGGUGUUAAUGAUGUACUCAGUGCUAAUCCAUUUUCCCCCUCCCUUUAUAUGCUUCCUUUAUAUUUGUGCUUGUAAAUAAAGUGUGCCUUGAUUGUUGGUUCAUCCAUUAUGGAGAUGUCAGAAGAGCAUAUCUACAAGGUAUCAGGCUAGUCACACAGGUAAGUACCAGGUCAGGGAUAGUAUAAAUCACCUAGGGAGGUAAUGUCGGGUUCCUGAAACCCUUAAACAGUCAGGUGGAGGCACCAGCACUUAGCAGCUAAGAACCCAAACCACUGAAACCCACUGCAGCCGGAGCAGAGGGACAGCAGGUAAGGGUUUGUGUUGAUGAUUAGCUACACUUAGGGGUAUGACAAGACAUAAAACUAUCUUACAUUCUUGGACGCACCGCUGGGAUUGUGAAAAGAAAAAAACUCUCCCUUCUAUCCCCCUUCAUGAGUCUGCUUGGAUAGAGGGCACGUCCUAGAGUGAGAUGAAAGGGAUGAAGGAGACCCACAGCAGGCUGUGGUGGUGGGGAGGCUUUAGCAAGAGUACUUCCAGAGCAUAGAUUAUUGAGGCUGUGGCUACAGCAAAGGCAUUGGGACAGGUCACCUUUCAUAGCAGAAUCUAUUAGCAGAAAGAACAAAGAUUGUAUGUCUUAUGUUCUGGUUCAAUGAGGUUUGAUAUGCAGAUGGGACCCUGAGACAUAAUUGUGGAUGAAGAGAUGAAGCAAUUGACUCUACAAACUGUAGACACUAGGCUUAUCAUGCCCCCUAAUCCAUGGGAGAAGACAUGAUUUUCAAGGAGAAAUUCAACGUUUGCUUCAGAGAACA